GCCCGGCUAGCUCAGUCGGUAGAGCACGAGAACUCUUAAUUCGGGGUCGUGGGUUCGAGCCCCACGUUUGGGCG